GAUUCUGACCUUAUCGAUUUCUUCACAGACUUGUGCGCCAAGUCUCGUCUGUCGCCGCCUUUUGUGAUAGUCGAAACCCGUAGCAAGAUACUUCAAUCGCUGACCUUCGCUGAUUGAUCUCUUCUUGCCGGACUCGUCUCCCUCUCGAUCGUUCUUCCAAGAAGCUCUGAUACCAAUUUGAUAGAAAUUGGUAGAGUAGAACUACAAACAAGGGGUGCCCCUCCAACGGAUAAGCUUUUGUAGCUUAACCUUUUAAAUUGUGUUAGUUAUAGUGGCUAGAGUGAAUACAAGCGGUGGCGGACUCAUGAAUCUUUUCCAGUUAUCACUAAAAAUUUCAAACCGAGUGGGUUUUUAG
rnacentral:lncRNA from 1 species